rnacentral:rRNA from 1 species
UACGGAGGGCGCGAGCGUUAAUCGGAAUUACUGGGCGUAAAGCGUGCGUAGGCUGUUUGAUAAGUCAGGCGUGAAAGCCCUCGGCUCAACCGAGGAACUGCGUUUGAUACUGUUAGACUUGAGUCCCGGAGAGGGUGGCGGAAUUCCAGGUGUAGGAGUGAAAUCCGUAGAUAUCUGGAGGAACACCGGUGGCGAAGGCGGCCACCUGGACGGGUACUGACGCUGAGGCACGAAAGCGUGGGGAGCAAACGGG